CAGUUCCUCGGGACGCAGCAGUGAGGAAUAUUGGUCAAUGGCCGGAAGGCUGAACCAGCCAAGCCGCGUGAAGGACGAAGGUGCCAAGCAUUGUAAACUUCUUUUGUCAAGGGACAAAAUCAGGCUCGAGAGCCUGACCGAGGGUACUUGAAGAAAAAGCAUCGGCUAACUCCGUGCCAGCAGCCGCGGUAAUACGGAGGAUGCGAGCGUUAUCCGGAUCUAUUGGGUUUAAAGGGUGCGUAGGCGGGCUGUUAAGUCGGCGGUAAAAGCCCGGGGCUCAACCCCGGCGAGCCGUUGAAACUGGG
rnacentral:rRNA from 1 species